GAUGAACGCUGGCGGCGUGCCUAAUACAUGCAAGUCGAGCGAACAGACGAGGAGCUUGCUCCUCUGACGUUAGCGGCGGACGGGUGAGUAACACGUGGAUAACCUACCUAUAAGACUGGGAUAACUUCGGGAAACCGGAGCUAAUACCGGAUAAUAUAUUGAACCGCAUGGUUCAAUAGUGAAAGACGGUUUUGCUGUCACUUAUAGAUGGAUCCGCGCCGCAUUAGCUAGUUGGUAAGGUAACAGCUUACCAAGGCAACGAUGCGUAGCCGACCUGAGAGGGUGAUCGGCCACACUGGAACUGAGACACGGUCCAGACUCCUACGGGAGGCAGCAGUAGGGAAUCUUCCGCAAUGGGCGAAAGCCUGACGGAGCAACGCCGCGUGAGUGAUGAAGGUCUUCGGAUCGUAAAACUCUGUUAUUAGGGAAGAACAAAUGUGUAAGUAACGAUGCACGUCUUGACGGUACCUAAUCAGAAAGCCACGGCUAACUACGU
rnacentral:rRNA from 1 species